GAUGAAGAACGCAGCGAAUUGCGAUAAGUAAUGUGAAUUGCAGAUUUUCAGUGAAUCAUCGAAUCUUUGAACGCACCUUGCGCUCCUUGGUAUUCCGAGGAGCAUGCCUGUUUGAGUGUC
rnacentral:rRNA from 1 species